rnacentral:rRNA from 1 species
UACGUAGGUGGCAAGCGUUGUCCGGAUUUAUUGGGUUUAAAGGGUGCGUAGGCGGCCUAUUAAGUCAGUGCUGAAAUAUCCCGGCUUAACCGGGAGGGUGGCAUUGAUACUGAUGGGCUUGAGUAGAGUCGAGGUAGGCGGAAUUGACGGUGUAGCGGUGAAAUGCGCAGAUAUCAGGAAGAACACCUAUGGCGAAGGCAGCUCUCUGGGACGGUACUGACGCUGAGACGCGAAAGCGUGGGGAGCGAACAGG